rnacentral:tRNA from 2 species
AAGAAAGGAGCAUGAGUGGUUUGAUGCGGCUGGCUUGAAACCAGUAUAUGAGGGUUCGAUUCCUUCCUUUCUUG